rnacentral:rRNA from 1 species
UGGGGGAUAUUGCACAAUGGGGGAAACCCUGAUGCAGCGACGCCGCGUGGGUGAAGGAGCACUUCGGUGCGUAAAGCCCUAUCGGCAGGGAAGAAAAGGGGGGAAACCCCAGACGGUACCUGACUAAGAAGCCCCGGCUAACUACGUGCC